rnacentral:rRNA from 1 species
GACGAACGCUGGCGGCGUGCUUAACACAUGCCAGUCGAACGGAAAGGCCCUGCUUUUGUGGGGUGCUCGAGUGGCGAACGGGUGAGUAACACGUGAGUAACCUGCCCUUGACUUUGGGAUAACUUCAGGAAACUGGGGCUAAUACCGGAUAGGAGCUCCUGCUGCAUGGUGGGGGUUGGAAAGUUUCGGCGGUUGGGGAUGGGCUCGCGGCUUAUCAGCUUGUUGGUGGGGUAGUGGCUUACCAAGGCUUUGACGGGUAGCCGGCCUGAGAGGGUGACCGGCCACAUUGGGACUGAGAUACGGCCCAGACUCCUACGGGAGGCAGCAGUGGGGAAUAUUGCACAAUGGGCGGAAGCCUGAUGCAGCAACGCCGCGUGCGGGAUGACGGCCUUCGGGUUGUAAACCGCUUUCGCCUGUGACGAAGCGUGAGUGACGGUAAUGGGUAAAGAAGCACCGGCUAACUACGUG